GGCAGUUCUUGGGUGACGCACCCCGGAAUUGGGCUCCCUCCUCUCUGGUUCUGGGUGCAUCACCCAAGAACUGCA
rfam:Myotis brandtii contig222365, whole genome shotgun sequence.